rnacentral:rRNA from 1 species
UACGUAGGUGGCGAGCGUUAUCCGGAAUUAUUGGGCGUAAAGAGUGCGCAGGCGGUUUGAUAAGUCUAAAAUAAAAGCCCGAAGCUUAACUUCGGUUCGUUUUAGAAACUGUCAGACUAGAGUGCGGUAGAGGCAAAUGGAAUUUCUAGUGUAGCGGUAAAAUGCGUAGAUAUUAGAAGGAACACCAGUGGCGAAGGCGAUUUGCUGGGCCGCAACUGACGCUCAUGCACGAAAGCGUGGGGAGCAAAUAGG